rnacentral:lncRNA from 1 species
AUGACGGUACUUCAGCCGAUGCACAAAGGGAUCUCUCAGCAGAUAUUCGCCCGAGGAGCGCGGCCUCGGCUCGCGCCGCGGGGCCGGGAGCGGUUUCCCGACGGGAAAGGCGCGCGGGGUUCCGACGGGAGCGCGAGGCGUGCCGCGAGGACGAGGCUGCGGGAGGAAGGCUCCCUCAUCUUCCUCCCGGAGCCGGAUGGCUCGGUCAGGCAGCGCAGUGUGCGAGCUCGGGGUUUGUGUUGGCGUAAGCUCCCGGCGCGUGCUGGGACCUCCCGUCCGGCUUCCGCCCUGCUGGGGAGCGGCGCUCGGGAAGGCACCCGCUGGGACGGACGGGAGCGGGCGCGCCGAGAGCCGGGAGAGAGGGCGGCAGAGGCCGGCGGGCUCGCGGCCCCCGCCGAGCUCUCCCCGCGCCCGGGGCAGCGCGGUUCGGGGAGCUGGCGGUGCCGCUGGCGACCACGAGGCUCGAGGCCGCGCGUUACCGGCCUCGAAAACGCGGCGUGGAGGCACGAGGCCGCCGGAAGGGACAGCCGCGGGUCUGUCCUGCAUGCGGCGCGGCGAACGGUGAGCGCUCUCGGCCCCGGCACGCGGUCAUCCCGCACCCGGGGCAGAGCUGAGGAGGUGAAACAUCGGCGCGGGGCGGGUGAGGCAGAUCCUCCGCGAGAGCUGGAGGCAGAAAGCGAGAGAGACAGAGAGAGAGAGGCGCCAGGGCCAGGCCUGGCUUCCGCAAUAUCUGCUGAGAGACCAAAACGUUCACCCCGAAGUACCUUGACGAAAGAAGAAAGUUUUAUUCCUCUUAUUUUUUUAAUGAAAGAAAAAAAAACUAAAGCAAACCAUGCACUUUACGCGGCCCAGCGCGGGGCUGCCGGCGCCCGGAGGGGCCCCGUCCCCCUCUCCCACGGCAGCGGGGCCGAUUCUCAUUCCCUUCCUCUGCGGCCGGCGGGGCGGCUUCGGGAGGCGCCGGGGAGCGGCCGGCGGUUGCCGAAGGCAGGUCCUGGAUUUACCACUAGCAAAGAUGACGCCCGACGUGACGAACUCCUCAUGCUAGCGAGCACUCCUUACCGUAGCAGAUUUUUGCAAAUGGAGUUUUACAGUCUAUAUUUAAAGAAUUGUAUGUUUGUAACAAAUAAAAAGUAUGCGGAAAAGUGA